UACGUAGGGGGCAAGCGUUGUCCGGAAUCAUUGGGCGUAAAGCGCGUGUAGGCGGCCCGAUAAGUCCGCUGUGAAAGUCCAGGGCUCAACCCUGGGAUGCCGGUGGAUACUGUCGGGCUCGAGUCCGGAAGAGGCGAGUGGAAUUCCUGGUGUAGCGGUGAAAUGCGCAGAUAUCAGGAGGAACACCAAUGGCGAAGGCAGCUCGCUGGGACGUGACUGACGCUGAGACGCGAAAGCGUGGGGAGCAAACAGG
rnacentral:rRNA from 1 species